UUCAUCUGGCCUAGCAUGUGGCAGAUAUUCAGUAGGGCAUGAUACAGGAAGGUUGAAAUUAGAGCAUAAAAUGGAUACUUUUUGAGUAUCUGCAAUGCCUGCAGACACCAGGUAUACAACAGUAAAUGAGACAGAUAUAUUUAUAGUAUCCACCCAAGUAGAACUAUUGUUUACUGGAAAGCAAGACAAAAUAAUGAUAGCUAACAAUGAUUGAGUGCUUGCUACACGCCAGGCACUGUUCUAAGGACUUCACAUGAAUUAACUGAUAUAAUCCUCACCAAUAUCCUAUGGAUAUUAGGUACCAUCAUUAACUCUCUUUCACAGAUGAGGAAACUGAGGCACAUGAGGGUUAAGUAACCCGGUCCACAGCUGUAUAGAAGCAGCUUAGCACGAGACAGGUUGGUAUGGAGAUUCCAUAAGUUUCUGAGUUCAGAUCCCAGGCUCCCUUACUUACUGGAGAGCCUGGGAUCUGAACUCAGAAACUUACUGAAGCUCCGUACCAACCUGUCUCAUACUAAACAGCAACUACAUGUAUAUAAACACAUGCUUCAAAAGGAGAAGGCCCAAGAACUAGGAGGGUGCACACCAGGGAGCCCUGGCCUAGCCUGAGGAGUCAGAGGCAGCUCUCGAAGGGGGCAAUGAGAAAGCGGUACCCAGAUAAAGAAGGGGAAAAGCUCUCCCUGUAGAACAAGUAUGGGCAUGAAGACCUGGACUUAACGGAGAACUGAGAGCUUAGGUCAUGAAUAUUAAGCAACAGAAUUGUACUUGGCUGCUAAAGACUGCAGCUCAAAAAUCAAGCAUCCAACAACAACACCUGGAAAGAAAAUAGCUCAGACACCACUUCUGUUGUAUCCACUUUCUCUUAGUCUUGACCAGCAUCAACGUCGAUCAUUUUUAGAGGAAAAUUAGACCACAGGAGAGCAGAUAAUGAGAAGGGGAAGGAGGGAGGGCUUUGGCUCCACAUCUGGGCCAGGAUCCACUGAUGCUCGUUUCUGUGUAACCUUGAGUGGGUAAUUAAAACUGUCUUCUAAACCUCAGUUUCUUUAUCUGGAAAAUGGGAUUAAGAAUAUUUACUUUUUAUAGUCGUGGUUUAAAUAAAGCCAUGCAUGUAUGGCCUGGCUCUUGGCAAGGACUCAAGGAAUGUCCUCUCCCUUCACCUGUCAGCGUUCAAAGUUAGAAACUGGCACAUCGUGCAGGAAGCUGACACACCCAGGUCCUCCAAACACCCAAGUCCUCUCUCUAAUCCUGUAUCUUUGAGGGUGUUUGGUUUUGUUCCAGUAUCUUAACCAGUAUUGAGUUAUCAGGUUCGGCCAUGGAACACUCACAAGACUUUCUUAAAAUCAUGUGUUUAAGAUCAUUCAAAGGGAUCAAAACUUCAAUUUGGAUGAAUGCAUCCAAGUGUCCUAUUAAUAAUCUUUCUCAUCAACAAAAACAAAAAAAAUAAAACUGGGAAAAAAAUUAUGAGGAGACAGCUAGUAAAAUGAAUGAGGAUUGCUGUUUUCCUUUUUUUUUUUUUUUUCCAGCAGUGCACACUGAAGGAAUAUCUAUGACCUCAAUUUCCAAUUUCCAUCAGAUUCCAGGAGAUACAUUUGAAGAAAAAAAGCCAAAUCUUUACAGGGAUACCUAGAGCUUUAGAACCAGAAAUCAACUAGAAGAUCAUUAGGUCAACCCCUUCAUUUUCCAGAGGAUGUGAGUGAUUUUUAAAGCUGGAAUGAAGCUCAUACGGGGUUAUCGGCAGAAUUAGGGCUUGAAUUUGGGAGUCCUAAGGCAAUCAGAGCAGUGCAUGUAUGGCAAUGGCACUGAUCAGCUAAGGAGAUUUUCUGCUGAGGACAAGUAACCUAAGUUUCAAAGUUAAAGCAGAGGGUCGUUGAUAACCUGCCAAAUUCACUUGUCUGGAGAAGGAAAGUGAAGUUAAAAGUGCUAUAAACCAACAAAGCCUCAAUUCCACAAAUUUAAGAACAUAUUCUCUUUCCUAAUAGAUGCAAUAAUCUAAUAGAUGCUCUUCACUUUUCAUUGACCCCUUUAAGGGGAGCGGUGGAGUUUUCUCAGAUUUGCAUGUGAUUUGCAUAUUGGUCACACAAUCCCCAGCUCAGGUCAAUGAGUAAUCACAGGCUUGUUCCUGUUCUGGUUCUUGGUCAUUAAGCAAGAAUGCCAGGUGCCUUAGCUUCUGCCAUGGGAAACCAUCACCCAGGAAAGUACGGCCAUUCUCCAACUGCCUCUUUCCGGCUGAGGACCAAGGCAGCCCUCAUAAUCCUGAUGCCCUCCAGAGGCCUUAUAGAAAACCACGAAAGACUCCCCAGUGCAGUGUGUGGUCUGAAUAUAUCAACUAUGAAGGAAACUUCUGGGCCUAUUAAGGACAUUUGAAUUUGGAUUGGGCCUUCCAUGCCACUAGGAAAUUACUGUUAAUUUUUAUGGGUAUAAUAAUUGUAUUAUUGUUAUGUAAGAUAAUAGCCUUACUUUUUAGAUAUGCAUUCUGAAAUAUUUGAGGUUAAAAUGUGAUAUCUGUAAUUUGCUUUAAAAUAUAAACUACUCUAAAAUACUAAGCAGGCCGGGUGCAGUGGCUCAUGUCUGUAAUCCCAGCACUUUGGGAGGCCGAGGCAGGCAGAUCACUUGGAGUCAGCAGUUCGAGACCAGUCUGGCCAACAUGGUGAAACCCCAUCUCUACUAAAAAUACAAAAAUUAGCUGGGUGUGGUGGUGCAUGCUUGUAAUCCCAGCUACUGGGGUGGCUGAGGCAGGAGAACCACUUCAACCAUUGAGACGGAGGUUGCAGUGAGCGGAGAUCACACCACUGCACCCAGCCUGGGCAACAGAGUGAGACUGCCUCAAAAAAAAAAUAAAAUACUGAGCAAAACAAACAAACAAAAAAUAAAGCAAAUGCAGCAAUAUGUUAGUAAAUGUUAAACCAAGGCAUGUGUCCAUUAUAAUAGUCUCUCUACAUUUCUGUAUGUGAAAAAUUGCAUACUAAAAAUUUUAAAGCAAAUAAAGUUAUUCUGUUAUAAUGAGAAAACCCCACCCCAUAGUUGUGGAAUCAUAAAGCUCUCCCACAAGGCACCUUCUCAGUGCUGUCAUCUCAACAUGGCAGAGCCCAACCUGGGUGGAGAGUAUCACCUUCAGCUUUUGGCUCUUAUGAUUCAGUUUUCCAUUCAGUAGAAUGCAGGCAUUAAAUUAGGACUUCCUCUCCAAAGUUACCAUCCUUAAUAAUUCUUAGAAGUUCUUGCCAUAUGCUUCCUGCCUGUGAAUGUCAGCGUCUGUGUUACUCCUGAUGUGUGGAACAACCUCCCAGGAUUUUAAGUGUCUCAGACAACCAAUCAUUCCAGUCUUUUCCUUUGCCUCUUGAUAUGGUUUGGCUGUGUCCCCACUGAAAUCUCAUCUUGAAUUGCAGCUCCUGUAAUCCCCACGUGUCGUGGAAGGGACCCGGUAGGAGGUAACUGAAUCAUGGGAGCAAGAUAUUCCUGUGCUGUUCUCAUGAUAGUGAAUAAGUCUCACGAGAUCUGAUGGUUUUUAUAAAGGGGAGUUCCCCUACACACACUCUUCUUGACUGCCACCAUGUAAGAUGUGCCUUUGCUUGCUCUUCACUUUCCGCCACGAUUGUGAGGCCUCCCCAGCCAUGAGGAACGGUGAGUCCGUUAAACCUCUUUCCUUUCAAAUUACCCAGUCUUGGGUAUUUAUUCAUAGCAAUAUGAGAAUGGACUAAUACAACUUCCUAUCCUACCUCCCUCCUGAACUCAUGUGGCAAAGGUUUUUGCUUUCAUUUAUUUUUGCUUGACAAUGAACAAGAGAAAAUAAUAGGUAGCUGAGGAAGUUAAUAUAGAAGACGGUUCCUAUUUCUUUGCAAAUAUUUCCAGGAAAGUGACAUAACCAGAGCUUUGAAACAAACUGGCUUUUCAUUACUAUUGCCUCAUUGAAUACUCAAAUCAUUUUUACUUGAGGCAUACAAUAAACAGCUGCAUAUUGGGUGGUAGUAAUUUUUGACUUCAGGAUGUUUUAGAAGAUUUGGGGUACUUCUAUCUCUUAUAAUAUUUCCCUUUUAGAAAUUCAUCCCCACCCCACCAACCACCACCAUGUUCUUUUUGAGUUGGUCACUUAUAUGGUCCAGCCUGUGAUGACACAGGGUUGGGACCAUGACUCAAACUGGUCACAGUGUCCCAUUUCUCUGGCCAUAGGGAUUGGUUUAGACAUGAGGACAUGACGCAGGCCAGAAAAAUCCUGAAGCCAUUGACAAAAACGACCAUCUGGUUUAUCUGAAACUGCUAACAGCAUGUGUUAUAAUCUUGGACAGUGUAUGGAGAAGAUUUAAGUGAGAAUAAGCUAACACAGAAAAGCAGGAGGAAAGAGGGAGACAGAAAGAAAGAGACUAAAUGAAUUUUUUGUCUUUGAAUCCAGCUAUGUUCAAAACUAGAGCUACCUUCUUGAACUUCCCAGAUAUGUAAAUCUUUUAACUCUGCCUUUUGUUAAGUUGAUUUCCAUUAAGUUUGUGGAGCUUGUAAGCGAAAGCAUUUUUUCAAAUCAAAUUGAAUAGACAUAUAUCACACUGAUGUUAAUAACAUCUUAAAUGAAAACAGGUUUAUCAGAGUAAAGUGGAAAAAAAAUGGGUUAUAUAGUAAAAAAAGAAAAUGAAGAA
rnacentral:lncRNA from 1 species